rnacentral:rRNA from 1 species
AGCGAACGCUGGCGGCAGGCCUAACACAUGCAAGUCGAGCGCCCCGCAAGGGGAGCGGCAGACGGGAGAGUAACACGUGGGAACGUACCCUUUGGUUCGGAACAACCCAGGGAAACUUGGGCUAAUACCGGAUAAGCCCUUACGGGGAAAGAUUCAUCGCCGAAGGAUCGGCCCGCGUCUGAUUAGCUAGUUGGUGGGGUAACGGCCCACCAAGGCGACGAUCAGUAGCUGGUCUGAGAGGAUGAUCAGCCUCACUGGGACUGAGACACGGCCCAGACUCCUACGGGAGGCAGCAGUGGGGAAUAUUGGACAAUGGGCGCAAGCCUGAUCCAGCCAUGCCGCGUGGGUGAUGAAGGCCCUAGGGUUGUAAAGCCCUUUCGGCGGGGAAGAUAAUGACGGUACCCGCAGAAGAAGCCCCGGCUAACUUCGUGCCAGCCGCCGCCGUAACAC